GCAAGUCGAGCGGAAACGAGAAGUAGCUUGCUACUUCGGUGUCGAGCGGCGGACGGGUGAGUAAUGCUUGGGAAUAUGCCUUUGAGUGGGGGACAACAGUUGGAAACGACUGCUAAUACCGCAUAAUGUCUACGGACCAAAGGGGGGGAUCUUCGGACCUCUCGCCAUUUGAUUAGCCCAAGUGAGAUUAGCUUGUUGGUGAGGUAAGAGCUCACCAAGGCGACGAUCUCUAGCUGGUCUGAGAGGAUGAUC
rnacentral:rRNA from 1 species